GUUAGUGCAGUUGUAGAUAGCCUUAGCUGUGCAUUGCUCUUUUUGCAUCAGUCAAUAUUAUCAGGCAUGGAUGAGCACUCCACUGGCCCAGUAGGUUCACAUUCGUCAGUUCAUGCACAUCAUAUUGAACAAGAACAGAUGCAU